GUACUGUGCAAACGUUAUUCGGAAUCACUGGGCUUAAAGGGUGCGUAGGCGGGCUAAGCAAGUAGGGAUGUGAAAUCUUCCGGCUCAACCGGAAAACUGCGUUCUAAACUGCUUGGCUUGAGUGAGAUAGGGGUGUGCGGAACUUCCAGUGGAGCGGUGAAAUGUGUUGAUAUUGGAAGGAACGCCGUUAGCGAAAGCGGCACACUGGGUCUCAACUGACGCUGAGGCACGAAAGCCAGGGUAGCGAACGGGAUUAGAUACCCCGGUAGUCCUGGCUGUAAACGUUGAGCACUAGUCGGGAGGGACUUCGGUCCAUCCGGACGUAGCGAAAGCGAUAAGUGCUCCGCCUGGGGAGUAUGGUCGCAAGGCUG
rnacentral:rRNA from 1 species